rnacentral:lncRNA from 1 species
GGGUGCUGCGGGGAAGGCGGGGGACCCGGGACUUCCAAGUGUUCUGGCCAUGGAGGCAUGAUAUCCGUAACAUCCCCCAAAGGAGCUAAAGAAGAAAUCCACAAUUUACCAUGAGCAUUUCUCGUCUAAUGAUUGCCAAGCGAUUCCUCCAGGACAUUCCUCAAGAUCAAUUUCUGUUCAUCCACCUUGUCCUGGGAGGGACAUCAAUGGGUUUCCAUGUCCUUUGGCUUCUGGUUGAGUUCACUCAGUGGAGAACCCUGGCAAGAGGCAGGAAAAGGGGAGGAAGGUGAAAACCAUCCAUUUCUUGGAGAAGUGCCACGGUGGGGUUGCAAGUCCCAGGAUCAAGAUUUCGAUGUGUCUCUUUUUCCCGUAAAGUGGCUGAAAUCUGAAGCUGAAUCUGCAAGUGUCAUGGAGUCAUUGAAUCUCACAGUCUCAACUGAUAAAAGUUAUUAAAGGUCGUCUG